UAAAAGUAAUCUCCAUUUGUCACAUGUCAUAGCCUGAUUGGCUGUGGAAGAUUUCAUCAUCUCUUCCCACCCACUCACAACUUGCCACGUGUCACCUUAUCUUUUAUCUUUUUCUUUUUCUUCCCAUUUUCCCCUUUUGACCGAGUCUCUUCCCUCUUUCUUUUCUUUUUCCUUCUCCCUCUCACUUGGCCUCACACGCAGCUCAUUCUCCCUUCUUGCCUUUUCUUUUCUCUUCUUUCCCUUUCUUUCCCUUCUCCUCUAUUCUGUCACGCCACUGCCGAGAGAUGGAAAGAUAUGCCGAGAGUGAGAGGGGCGAUAUGUGAAAAGAGAAGAGACAAGCUGAGAUAGAGAUUCAUGCUAAUGGAGAGAUCCGGCCAUGAGAUGAAGAAGAAGAAAAAAAUGGGUCUCCGGCCUAGAGGGAUUUUUGAGGGUCGUCACAGACAAAGAGAACGAGAGAUACAAAGAGUUUGACAAAGAGAGAUUCAUCGAGAGAGAGACCGAGAGGUGCGAUUUUCGGUGGGUCGUCGGUGCUUGGAGCUGGUGACGCCGUUGAAGCUAGAAGAAGUGAUUUCCGAUGGUUCAAGGUUGAUUUCUGGCGAGUGGCGUGGAGGAUCAUCACCUUGCCGAUUUUGGUGAUUUUCUGGUUGUUUUUUGUGUUAAAUGAAAAAUCCUCAAAAAUAUGAGCUAAGAGAUUUCACUAAAGAGAGUAAGUAUGGAAGUACUUACUGAGGAUGAUUCUAUGUUUCAUUAUUAAAAUGAUUAAAUAUUAUAUUUGUUUAUUGCUUGGAUAAAUGUUCAUGAAAUGCAUACUGUGUCUAAAUAAUAAAAUAGCUGAAAAGAUAGCUAUCAACAAAAGCUGGAACUUAUGCUAUGAAAAUAGAUGACUCACUUGUUUGUAGCUAUGUAAAUAUGAU